CACCUCAACAUUAAAGGUUUAAGUUUAUUUCAAAAUGGCAGCUCAAGGAUGGAUCAAUUAGUACGAGGUUUCGCCUCACUACACUUUCAUUUGACUUUACAGUAAACACAAGUUGAUUUGGGAAUUUAUAGGAAAACAGUUGACUUCAAAGACAAAAAUCAAAUAUUCAAUUAAAGUAAAAUUUAAAGAAACUUGACACCAGUCCUACAAUAGUUUCCGUACAGGCAUAAUGCAAUUAGUGCUUCUCCUCUGCUUUUUCCAACUGUUUAAAGAUAAAAUGUUGAUAAUUGGAGAAAAAUUGAAUGAAGAAGAUGCAUCUGGUGCUAUUGUAAGAAUUGGGAAUAGUUAUUUUCUUCUGGAUGAAACUGAUCUAGACGAUAUCUAUCCUCUGUUCACGGAUAAUUCAGAAACUCAGAGACAAAACAGUUCAACGCAAAAACUGGAAAAGGCAAAAAUACCAGAAGAAAAAGCAGAAAAGCCAUCUCAGGGUGAUGACUAUAAUUUGCAGAUACCCACUGAACCUUCCUCUACUCGUGGAUACAGCAAGAAUGAUACAAAGCAGAUCAAUGCAAUUUCUCAGGACUCAUCGGGGAUAGAUCUUUUGUUGAGAGAACAUCUGCCCGGUCAGCACAAAUCACCUGACCUCACAACAAAGGGUUCUACUGUCGGUAUGGUUACUACUGAUAUGAAACAGGAAAUAAAUGUAAAUGAUCGGAAACCUAGGUUUCCAAAAUCUACUAGUCCUGUUCCACAAGAAACCACGGAAACAACCACGGAUGUUACUGGAUAUUCUAAAGGAACUACGCCAGCUUCAGCUACUGCACCAGAAAAUACUUCUUCACCAUCAAUUGAGUCAACUUCAGUUUCUUCCUUAGAAUCUACUUCAGUUCCUUUGGAAGAAACUACUUCAGUUCCUUUGGAAGAAUUUACUUCAGUUCCUUUGGAAGAAACUACUUCAGUUCCUUUGGAAGAAACUACUUCAGUUCCUUUGGAAGAAACUACUUCAGUUCCUUUGGAAGAAUUUACUUCAGUUCCUUUGGAAGAAACUACUUCAGUUCCUUUGGAAGAAUUUACUUCAGUUCCUUUGGAAGAAACCACUUCAGUUCCUUUGGAAGAAACUACUUCAGCUUCUUUGGAAGAAUCCACUUCAAUCCCUUUGAUUGAGUCUACGUUAGAUCCUUUAUCAGAAACUACAUCAUCAUCAACCACUAAUCCUGCUAAUAUCUCUGAAACCGCUUUAGCAGCAAAUGUUACAAUUCCGGAAGGAGAUAAUGUAACUGUUUCAUAUCCAGAUAAUUCUACAGUUACUUUUCAUUACCAAGAAAAGAAACCUGAAAAUGAUACAACAAUCGUGCCUGGAGAGAAAACAAAUGAAACGUCUGCUGAAACGACCACAACAUCAACACUGGCACAGAAUGGAUCUGACGCUAGUACAAGUUCUUCUCCAACUGUAAAGGGAUACGAGUCUAUUAUCAAAGAUAAAUGUGAAUAUCCAGCAGAUCAUAUAUUCUGCAAUUUGAAGGAGCCAGCACCCGAAUGCAACAUAAUAUAUAACAAUAUGUCUCAAGAUCUUCAAAACAAGAUACUAGAUAAGCACAAUCAGCUCAGGAGACAGUUUGCUAAGGGAAUAGAUACAAACAUGAAGCCAGCUGCGAACAUGAAGAAAUUGGUUUGGGACAAUGAAUUAGCAGCCAGUGCACAGCUAUGGGCAGAUCAGUGUACUAAUAAGCAUUUACCUUUUGGGUUUCAGAAACUAAAUGAUUCAAUUAAAAUGAACACUGAGAACUUAUACCAUAUCUCCGGUUCAAAAAGUUUGGAUUAUUCUUCAGUUGGUUGGAAAAGAAGUUGAAUAAGGGAAUACAGGCCUGGUAUGAUGAAAUAACUUUGUAUGAAUCUCCUAAUAAUGAAAAGUUUAUUUUGCUAGGACCGGGGACAAUUCAUACCUACAUUUCUCGGCCAUUGUUUGGGCAGACAAUCAGCUGAUGGGAUGUGGUUUGGCGCAUUUUCAG
rnacentral:misc_RNA from 1 species